GAUGAAGAACGCAGCGAAAUGCGAUAAGUAAUGCGAAUUGCAGAAUUUCCGUGAGUCAUCGAAUCUUUGAACGCACAUUGCGCCCACUGGUAUUCCGGUGGGCAUGCCUGUUCGAGCGUCAUUAUCCUCCCUCAAACCCCGGGUUUGGUGUUGGACCCAAGUUGUGUGAACAACUGGUCUCAAAGACAAUGACGGCGUCCGUGGGACCCUCGGUGCAACGAGCUUUUAGGAGCACGCAUCGAGUUGCAAGGACCUUCCGGGCCGGUCUCCUUUACCAUUUUACAAGGUUGACCUCGGAUCAGGUAGGAAUACCCGCUGAACUUAAGCAUAUCAAUAAGCGGAA
rnacentral:misc_RNA from 1 species